CCCUGUGAUGCUGUAAUUUGCGUCGUAGCUCUCACUGUGAGUGGUAGCCUGCCACUAUUUAAGCAGUGGGGAGCGCUGAUGACCAAACAUUUAUCUGAGGG